GCACAAGCAGCGGAGCGUGUGGUUUAAUUCGAUGCUACACGAAGAACCUUACCAGGGUUUGACAUACAAGUAGUAGGGAAAGGAAACUGGACCGACCCUUCGGGGAGCUUGAACAGGUGCUGCAUGGCUGUCGUCAGCUCGUGUCGUGAGAUGUUCGGUUAAGUCCGCUAACGAGCGCAACCCUCGCUGUGUGUUACAAGUGUCACACGGAACUGCCGGUCAUAAACCGGAGGAAGGUGGGGAUGACGUCAAGUCAGCAUGGCCUUUAUAUCCUGGGCUACACACACGCUACAAUGGGAAGGGACAAUAGGUUGCGAAACCGCGAGGUGGAGCCAAUCCAGCAAAACUUCCCUCAGCUCAGAUUGCAGGCUGCAACUCGCCUGCAUGAAGUUGGAGUUGCUAGUAAACGCAGGUCAGCCAUACUGCGUUGAAUACGUUCCCGGGGCUU
rnacentral:rRNA from 1 species